UCCUUUUGUGCAGACAUCUGUCUGCUCUCGUAUGUGGUCCUCGGCUGUCUAAGGAUGCUGCCUCUGCAGGAGCUUGAAUCGCGACCCAGGAUCGCUCCAGGCAGUCUGCACACUCCAUGCCCCAGCCACAGUCACAAUCCUCCAGUAACAUUUUGCAGGAAGCCUGGCAUGAGGAGAAGGUUUGACCACUAUAUGUUGGAUUAUACUGAACUCUGGUAACAUUCUGAAAUUGCCAGAAAAAAGAAUGCUCCAAGUUCCACAAAAGAAAAAUGGAGCACAUCUAGAAGAACUAAAAUCAAGAGAGCUUCAAACUUCUCAACUGUAACAAUCAAAGCAAGAAGAGAGCGGAAUAACGGUUUCAUAAUAUCUAAAGAAAAAGGAUGUGUAUCAGGAACUGAACAGGAUAGAAUAAAAUUAAUACGACAUGCAUCUCUUGAGUGUCUACUCUGUAUCAAGAACCAUGCUAACUCAAAAGCACAGUGGUGAGCAUAUUACACGUGGAUUCUGCCCCUGCUGCUGCAAACUCACCAAAGAACAUGCUGGACACACAGCUCAGAAAAGGGCCAGGGGCCAGGCUGCAGUGCAUUCUGCCAGGGCUCUGGAAAGCAGGGGCCAUGCUGACUGAGGAUGUGAGGGAAUGCUUCCCGGUGGCAGUAGCAUUUGAGGUCUUGCAGGAUAGAGGAUGACCAUUCCAGGGAGGGGCACUGAGCACAGCAUGGACAUACAAAGCUGGUGACACCAGGUCAGAGGAAACAGACACACUCAGCUUCCCAUGAGUGCAUGAAAGAUCCAGGCUGGAGCCUUCUCUGGGAGGAAGUUGGUCUGGGGUGGGGCCGAGGGGGCCGAGUCUCCCAUACCUGAGGGAAGAGACGGUUAGACGUUGCACGUGUGUAUUCUCAUCCCUCCGUCUCCUCUCUCACGAAGGCAUUUUCUUGAGUGCUUCCUCUCAUGAACACUCUUCAGUGGGCCCACUGCACACCAUUCCUCUGCCUCCUUUUUCUCCACCUACUAGCAAGGCUAAGCUCCCAGCCUGCCCUAGCCUGGACACCUGCUGGCAAAAAUCUGCAGCCCCACUGACUGGCCUCAACCUGAAAUCAGGACCUCAAAGGACAAUCAACCAUGCAGCCAACUCACCUGCCCUGCUUUUGUGUAUUUCCUCUCCCACUCUCCAACGUGAUUCUUCCACACCAUCUUCUCCCCCUCUAUCUUCUCAAACUCUUCAUUUGGCAUCCCCCUACCAAACUCCCAGCCAGGACCUUAUUCUUAUGUCACUGAGCAAAACCAUUAGAUGGGGACCGAGCAUCUUCCCACCACCACCUCAGCCCGUCACCUGCAUCUGUCUCUACUUUCAUGUCCUGGAGGAGGAAGAGCCUUGCUCCCAUCAGAGGGAGCUCCUCCUCCUGGGUGGGGGGAACUUCUUUUGCCUUCCCGGGACUUUGCAUCUGCAAUUGUGCCCCUGUCUCUGGCAUCGCUAAUCAUCCCCAUUGGAUAAUGGCCUGUAGCAUGCAUGAAGAUGUCUUAAGGAGACUGUCCUCUGGGGCCCCUCAUCUCUAUCCAGCGAUGACUACGCUUCUUUUCCGGGCCAACCAAGGCCCCUGCUGGGUGAGGUGUGUGUUCAUGUGUUGGUCCCCAAUGUCCCUUGAUUGAAGAGUGAUGUCUAUUUUUUCUGCUGGCGCGCUGGCCAGGUGGCUGCCUCUAGCUCCCCUGGCUCCCCUGCUGUGAUAAAAAUCUCCCCAAUCCCAGGCUUUUGUGUCCUGCAGCAAAACAGCCUUGCCUUGCUCCUCUCCUAGUGGAUCCCAAUCAGGCUUUAUAUUUUAGCUAAAGACUCACUUCCUCAGCGCACCUGUUCCCCUGGCCACCGACGCCAACUGUCCCUCCCAUUAGAGGCUUCCCCUGCGUCUCUGUAGACCUGGCACCGUGAGAGUGUCAGAUUUGAGUGGUGUGUUUUUUGAUAUGAGAAUGUUGGCUGAAAGUUAGAAGACUUGCUCAUGAGCCCCUUGCUCCUCUGCGCAGGAGCCUGAAGCCAGCCCCAGUGGCUUUGUCCUGACCGUAUGCCGCUGCCCUGAGGACCACACUCUCUCCUGGCUGGCAGCCCCGCUCCAAAGCUGCCUGAGCACUUCCAGCCGGAACUUGGGGCGGGUGGACAUCCCUUUCAUGAAUUGUCAGUUUACCGUUGAAGAAUGGGAGGAGGGAGAAUUGAAAGGAAAGGAGAGAGGGAGGAGUGCCUUGUGAAGAUGGAGGCGGAGUUGGCACCUCACUGCUGCAGCUGAGGUGUACCAAAGUGUCACCAGAAGCUGGGACAAAGCCAGGGAUGGCUCCUCCUUCAGAGCUUCAGAGGAGCCCACCUUACCAACACCUGGACUCCUGGUCUCCAGAGCUGCAGGAGAACACACUUCUACUGCUUGGAGCCCCCUGCAUUGUGAGAAGUUGUUACUGCAGCCCCAGGAAAUGGAUACAACAAUCAAAAAACAUCAGGGGAUUUGGUAACAUGGAUCUCAUUGGCAUAAAAUAAAUAGGCAGAAAAUCUAAUUCUUUAAAUUUGAUUGCAUUUUGACACAUUGGCUGAUCCAUUUUACUAUCCACUAAUUGAAUAAAUACAUGAAAACUAUUUUGUUUUUAAAAAUGGAGGUGACAGGAGCCUGCAGUGCAGGUUAGAGGACACACAGAGGGAGGUGACCCCCAGGACCCAGCUGACCCCAUAGGAUAGAAUAUUCCAAGUGUUGCAGCCU
rnacentral:lncRNA from 1 species